UUAUGAUUUUCUUAUUUUUCUUCUGUGGGGUUUGUUGAAAUAUAUGUUUGUGGAUCUUAGCCUUCGUUGUUGCACUCUGCUUAAACAGGAUAUGGUUCGCUGGGUUUCUUAAUUGUGCUUAGGCUCAAGUAUCAUCGACUCGGUGCUUGCUGCUCAGAUUUUAGGUUUAAAAUUUGACCACCUUUCUCAAUAUGACCUUGUGAUUUUUUUUUUCGUUCUUUUUUAGCAUGGCUCCUUUGUAUAAGCAGCAUCGGUGUUUAUAAUAUUAUAAGGUGGAAUUAAUCCAGGCGUUGUUAAUGCAUAUCUUGUGAAUGGAUUGUGAAUGUAAUGUAACACAUUGAUAGUUCACAUUUUCCAGACAGCAUUUACUUUUCUGGUUUACCCUUGUUUGGUUUUGGCUUACUUGUAUACUGGGUCAUGGUUUGGUUACUUCUAAAUGACCUACUGAAAACAUGAAAUCCUGGUAGUUUUAUUGCAGGCGUGGAGACCAUGUUUGCUGAUUUGGGACAUUUUUCAGCUUGUUCAAUUAAGUUCACAUUUUCCAGACAGCAUUUACUUUUCUGGUUUACCCUUGUUUGGUUUUGGCUUAUAUGGGUGAGGCUGCCUUCCUGUCUUGUCAUAAUGAAGAUAUUCAGAGGAGCUUCUACAAAGCUAUUCCAGAACCAGUAUUCUGGCCGGUUUUCAUAGUGGCUACAUUUGCGGCGGUAGUAGAACCAGUAUUCGGUCUGGAAAGGUAACCUUUCUUACUGUGAUAUUUUGCAUUCUUGUCUCCAAAAACAAACUAUAAAUAACUAUUUUGUAGUGGAGCAUUCAGAUCUCUUGGGAAUUUUUUAGCAAGUCCUUCAUGUUGGCUUUAAUAAGUUCCCUCUUGUGCCUUGUCUAGCCUAUUUUAUAUCCAAAAUGGUGAGAAACUCUUGCAAUACUGCGUAGGGUAUGCCUU